rnacentral:lncRNA from 1 species
GCCAGAUCUGAACAAACCCCAAAUGGCUGCAUAGAUUAUAUACUUGUCUCUCCUUUGCAAGGUGACCUGGGGUUUAAAGAGUUGAGUGAGAAGUGAACGUACUAAUGAAGGUAAAACAUACACUGACAACCAGCAAAGGCAGACCAUAAGCAGCACAUUUUGGUGUGCGAUCUCUCAUUUUGAUCUCUAACUCUUUUUUCCAAGCCCCAAACCUUCUAUUAGCUUAAAACAACAACUUAAAAAUGUUAAUUUGUAAAAGCAAUUUUGAUUUUCUAUCUUCAAUUGCUUAGUCCACCCCUAGGAUGCUCUGUGGAUCAUAAUUAGUACUCAGAUACCUGCAAUGAAACUCCUCCUCUUUCCCAUCAAUCUUCUUUGCUUUGUUAAUGUUAUUGCCCUCUCCCCAGCCACCUUUACAUGAGCAUUAUUCUGCAUUGUUGCUGUUGGUUCCUUGUGGAAUGCUGUCAGACAAAAGUGUUAGUCCACAAAGAAGUCAUGGUUAGCCUGAUCUUAACUGUUUGCUACUCUGUAGAUUUUUGGCACCGAUUGUGUGUGUGUGUGUGUGUGUGUGUGUGUGUGCGCGCGCGCGAUCUGCUAAUAAAGAACAUCUGGUUUCAGUUUCUACACUAGACAAUGGAGCAGUUAAUUGAUUUAAGAAAAUCGAGUUCACCUAGAAAACCAUCUGUUUGGGAACAAAAUUCCUCUGAUUCCAGGCAUGGGGUUUUGUUGGUUCUACACCAUUUUUUCCGUGGUCUCUAAGUUGCAACUUGCAGUGUGGGAUGCAUAAUGUUCAGUGAGGGAUGGGAGAGGAGCGCAGUGGCAAUCAGGUGCAUGUGUACAUACUUGUGACUGCAGUCUGUGAACCAACUCACUCUUUUGUUUAAUCCUGGGGAGUGGAGUGAAGUUAAAGAUCCAGUUUUCUCAGUUUUUGUGGUGGUUUGAACAAGAAUGUCCCCCAUAGGCUCAUGAAUUUGAACAUUUGGUCUCCAGUUGGUGAUUCUGUCUGUGGAGGUCUUAGAGGUGUGGUUAUAUUGGAGGACAUGUGUCACCAGGGAUAGACUCUUGAGUUUUUAAAGCCUUGCACCAUUCCUAGGACCCGUCCCCGACCCCCUGCUUCUUGCUUGUGAUUUGAGACAUGAGCUCUCAUUUUUCUGCUCCAUCUGUUUUCCUGCUUGUUGUAGCAGACUCUUACCCUGGGACCACAAACCCAAAUAAACUCUUUCUUCUUU